CUCAACUCCGGAAUUGCCCUCAAAACUGGUUCGCUAGAGUCCGGGAGAGGAGAGUGGAAUACCCAGUGUAGCGGUGAAAUGCGUAGAUAUGUGGAGGAACACCAGUGGCGAAGGCGACUUUCUGGCCUACAACUGACGCUGAGGCGCGAAAGCGUGGGGAGCAAACAGGAUUAGAUACCCUGGUAGUCCACGCUGUAAACGAUGAGUGCUAGGUGUUAGGGGUUUCGAUACCCUUGGUGCCGCAGUUAACACAUUAAGCACUCCGCCUGGGGAGUACGGCCGCAAGGCUGAAACUCAAAGGAAUUGACGGGGGCCCGCACAAGCAGUGGAGCAUGUGGUUUAAUUCGAAGCAACGCGAAGAACCUUACCAGGUCUUGACAUCCUCUGACAACCCUAGAGAUAGGGCGUUCCCCUUCGGGGGACAG
rnacentral:rRNA from 1 species